CAGGGAUUGCCUCAGUAACGGCGAGUGAAGCGGCAACAGCUCAAAUUUGAAAUCUGACCCCCUCGGGGCCCGAGUUGUAAUUUGUAGAGGGUGUUUCGGGCGCGGCGCCGGUCUAAGUUCCUUGGAACAGGACGUCACAGAGGGUGAGAAUCCCGUACGUGACCGGCGAUCAAGCCCAUGUGAAGCCCCUUCGACGAGUCGAGUUGUUUGGGAAUGCAGCUCAAAAUGGGUGGAAAAUUUCAUCUAAAGCUAAAUAUUGGCCAGAGACCGAUAGCGGACAAGUAGAGUGAUCGAAAGAUGAAAAGCACUUUGGAAAGAGAGUCAAACAGUACGUGAAAUUGUUGAAAGGGAAGCGCUUGCAAUCAGACCGGUCCGGGGGCGAUCAGCCGCUGCUCGUCGGCGGUGCACUCGCCCUCGAUCCGGCCAGCAUCGGUUUGGGCGGCGGGAGAAAAGGCCCGGGAAUGUAGCUUCCUUCGGGGAGUCUUAUAGCCCGGGUCGGCAUGCCGCCCGCCUGGACCGAGGACCGCGCUUCGGCUAGGAUGCUGGCGUAAUGGUUGCAAGCGACCCGUCUUGAAACACGGACCAAGGAGUCUAACAUCUAUGCGAGUGUUUGGGUGUCAAACCCGGGCGCGGAAUGAAAGUGAACGGAGGUGGGAACCGGUCAGACGGCGCACCAUCGACCGAUCCAGAUGUCUUCGGAUGGAUUUGAGUACGAGCAUAGCUGUUGGGACCCGAAAGAUGGUGAACUAUGCCCGGAUAGGGUGAAGCCAGAGGAAACUCUGGUGGAGGCUCGCAGCGGUUCUGACGUGCAAAUCGAUCGUCAAAUCUAGGCAUAGGGGCGAAAGAACAAUCGAACCAUCUAA
rnacentral:rRNA from 1 species